CGGAAAUUCCUCACUCGUUCAUCCCGUGAUGAUUGUGUUUUCAGCCACCGUUUUCACAGACUUGAAUUAUGGGGAGUUUCAGGCACUGAAGUGAACAUAAUUGUACACUUGCAAAGCCUAUCUAAAAACGAGCGCUGAAGGGUUUACGUUGUAAACUUCCCUUGCUUGGCUAAUCAUUUGGACCGCACUCCAAGAUGGCGACAGGGAUUGCCCCAAGGGCAUAAGGCAAGGGGAUCCCAAGCCAUGGGACAUGAAGACAGAGCCCAUGUGGACCUUCAGCAUUAACUCCACACUCCCACGCAGGAUCCCAAUCUUCACCAGCUCCUGCAGAACCCGGUCAGCCAGACGGUGCAUCUCUGUCCACUUGACCUCUGAAACGCAAGACUUGUUUUGUGGACUGGAUCUAGUAUUCACUAUUAAAGGCAUAGCCCAUUUGAUUUGCUCACAAGCAUAUAUGGAUGAAGGGAGCUGACACUUGAUUUAGACAUAUUUGACAGUAUGCAUGUGUUUAAUGAGAGCCAUGAUGGUCCGUGAUGACGUCAGCAAAGCCUCAGAGUGUUUUCUCCACCCAUGUCAAACAGACAAUAAAUUGUUCCCAGCAUGCACAUCAGAAUGGAUAAAAGUUUUGAGCGGAGGCGGUUUGCCUUUCAAAGGUGCUCAUGUUGUGUCACCAUGGGCGCUCCAAACAGCCACUUUAAAUCUCCCAUCAGUAUCCCUAUGCACACAGCAGCCUGCCUCAGGUUCAAAUACAGUCAAGCUGUGCUAUGUUUAUGAAUAAACCCAUGGGAGAGCCACUCAGGGCUAC
ensembl:lncRNA